UUGUCCAAACCAUUAACCAAACAAGGGAGAUUGGCAGCGCAAAGCCCUCGUUUUUGAUCGAGAGGGCGAGUGUACUAUUCUGUUCACUCCGGGGGCUGAAACGGCCAGUAAUUCAAUUUGCAAUGAUUGUACAUCCGCUAAGAAAAGUCAGCCAAAACUUAAUACCGACAUUAAGAAAUCAACAUACAAGUGACAAUUUUUCAGAGGAUGGUGCUGGAGGGAAGGCUCACAAGUGGGAGAAUUUAAAGAAUAAGUACAAGGUCCCUCCAACUCAGCAGCAACAGAGGUAUUGAAUUGGUCCACCCACACAGACAGCAUCGUGAAGUAGGCACAGCAGCGCCUCUUCAACCUCAGGAGGCUGAAGAAAUUCGGCUUGUCACCAAAAGCACUCACAAACUUC